rnacentral:rRNA from 1 species
UACGGAGGGGGCUAGCGUUGUUCGGAAUUACUGGGCGUAAAGCGCACGUAGGUGGCUUUGUAAGUUAGAGGUGAAAGCCCGGGGCUCAACUCCGGAAUUGCCUUUAAGACUGCAUCGCUAGAACGUCGGAGAGGUAAGUGGAAUUCCGAGUGUAGAGGUGAAAUUCGUAGAUAUGCGGAGGAACACCGAUGGCGAAGGCAGCCCCCUGGGCUGAGAUUGACGCUCAGGCACGAAAGCGUGGGGAGCAAACAGG